AGUCCAUGAUGAGGAUACAUUUUUAACAAAUCUUUAAAUCUCUCACAUGUAUCAUAAAGAGUCUCAAUAUCAAAUUGAACAAAAGAAGAGAUGUCAUUCCUCAACUU
rfam:Gossypium arboreum cultivar AKA8401 contig_25762_3, whole genome shotgun sequence.